rnacentral:rRNA from 1 species
AUUGAACGCUGGCGGCAUGCCUUACACAUGCAAGUCGAACGGCAGCACGGGUGCUUGCACCUGGUGGCGAGUGGCGAACGGGUGAGUAAUACAUCGGAACGUACCUUAUCGUGGGGGAUAACGCAGCGAAAGCUGUGCUAAUACCGCAUACGCCCUGAGGGGGAAAGCGGGGGAUCGCAAGACCUCGCGCGAUUAGAGCGGCCGAUGCCUGAUUAGCUUGUUGGUGGGGUAAAAGCCCACCAAGGCGACUAUCAGUAGCUGGUCUGAGAGGACGAUCAGCCACACUGGGACUGAGACACGGCCCAGACUCCUACGGGAGGCAGCAGUGGGGAAUUUUGGACAAUGGGGGCAACCCUGAUCCAGCAAUGCCGCGUGAGUGAAGAAGGCCUUCGGGUUGUAAAGCUCUUUUGUCAGGGAAGAAACACCGGCUCUAACACAGUCCGGGAAUGACGGUACCUGAAGAAUAAGCACCGGCUAACUACGUGCCAGCCGCCGCAGUAACAC